UACGAAGGGGGCUAGCGUUGCUCGGAAUCACUGGGCGUAAAGGGUGCGUAGGCGGGUCUUUAAGUCAGGGGUGAAAUCCUGGAGCUCAACUCCAGAACUGCCUUUGAUACUGAGGAUCUUGAGUUCGGGAGAGGUGAGUGGAACUGCGAGUGUAGAGGUGAAAAUUCGUAGAUAUUCGCAAGAACACCAGUGGCGAAGGCGGCUCACUGGCCCGGUACUGACGCUGAGGCGACGAAAGCGGUGGGGAGCAAACAGGG
rnacentral:rRNA from 1 species